AUCCAGCUGACGAGUCCCAAAUAGGACGAAAGGGGCAUCCUGGAU
rnacentral:hammerhead_ribozyme from 1 species